GACGAACGCUGGCGGCGUGCUUAACACAUGCAAGUCGAACGGUAAGGCCCUUCGGGGUCCACGAGUGGCGAACGGGUGAGUAACGCGUGAGUAACCUGCCCUUCACUCUGGGAUAACAGUUGGAAACGGCUGCUAAUACCGGAUAUUCAGCUCCUGUCGCAUGGUGGGGGUUGGAAAGUUUUGGUGGUGGAGGAUGGGCUCGCGUCCUAUCAGCUUGUUGGUGGGGUGAUGGCCUACCAAGGCGUCGACGGGUAGCCGGCCUGAGAGGGCGACCGGCCACAUUGGGACUGAGAUACGGCCCAAACUCCUACGGGAGGCAGCAGUGGGGAAUACUGCACAAUGGGCGGAAGCCUGAUGCAGCAACGCCGCGUGCGGGAUGACGGCCUUCGGGUUGUAAACCGCUUUCAGCAGGGACGAAGCGCAAGUGACGGUACCUGCAGAAGAAGCACCGGCUAACUACGUG
rnacentral:rRNA from 1 species